AGUGAACGCUGGCGGCGUGCCUAAUACAUGCAAGUCGAACGGAGAUUAAGUAGCUUGCUAUUUAAUCUUAGUGGCGCACGGGUGAGUAAUAUAUAGCUAACUUGCCCAUUACUAGGGGACAACAGUUGGAAACGACUGCUAAUACCUUAUACUCCGUAUCUAUAUAAGUAGAUACGGGAAAGUUUUUCGGUAAUGGAUAGGGCUAUAUCGUAUCAGCUAGUUGGUAAGGUAAUGGCUUACCAAGGCUAUGACGCGUAACUGGUCUGAGAGGAUGAUCAGUCACACUGGAACUGAGACACGGUCCAGACUCCUACGGGAGGCAGCAGUAGGGAAUAUUGCUCAAUGGGGGAAACCCUGAAGCAGCAACGCCGCGUGGAGGAUGACACUUUUCGGAGCGUAAACUCCUUUUCUUGGGAAAGAAUUGUGACGGUACCCAAGGAAUAAGCACCGGCUAACUCCGUG
rnacentral:rRNA from 1 species